GUCCCGCAACGAGCGCAACCCUCGCCUCUAGUUGCCAGCAUUCGGUUGGGCACGCUAGAGGGACUGCCGGCGACAAGUCGGAGGAAGGUGGGGAUGACGUCAAAUCAUCAUGCCCCUUAUGACCUGGGCUACACACGUGCUACAAUGGGCGGUACAAAGGGCUGCGAACCCGCGAGGGGAGCGAAUCCCAAAAAGCCGCUCUCAGUUCGGAUUGCAGGCUGCAACUCGCCUGCAUGAAGCCGGAAUCGCUAGUAAUCGCGGAUCAGCAUGCCGCGGUGAAUACGUUCCCGGGCCUU
rnacentral:rRNA from 1 species